GUCUACGGCCAUACCACCCUGAGAACGCCCGAUCUCGUCUGAUCUCGGAAGCUAAGCAGGGUCGGGCCUGAUCAGUACUUGGAUGGGAGACCGCCUGGGAAUACCAGGUGCUGUAAGCU
rnacentral:rRNA from 1 species